rnacentral:tRNA from 1 species
CCAUAGCUCAGCAGGAUAGAGCAACGGACUUCGAAUCCGUAGGUCGUAGGUUCGAAUCCUACUGG